UACGGGGGGGGCAAGCGUUGUUCGGAAUUACUGGGCGUAAAGGGCUCGUAGGCGGCUAACUAAGUCAGACGUGAAAUCCCCAGGCUCAACCUGGGAACUGCGUCUGAUACUGGAUGGCUUGAAUCCAGGAGAGGUGAGUGGAAUUCCAGGUGUAGCGGUGAAAUGCGCAGAUAUCAGGAGGAACACCGAUGGCGAAGGCAGGUCUCUGGGCAUUAACUGACGCUGAGGCACGAAAGCGUGGGUAGCAAACAGG
rnacentral:rRNA from 1 species